AUUGAACGCUGGCGGCAGGCCUAACACAUGCAAGUCGAACGAGUGGCGGACGGGUGAGUAAUGUCUGGGAAACUGCCAGAUGGAGGGGGAUAACUACUGGAAACGGUAGCUAAUACCGCAUACCAUCAGAUGUGCCCAGAUGGGAUUAGCUUGUUGGUGGGGUAACGGCUCACCAAGGCGACGAUCCCUAGCUGGUCUGAGAGGAUGACCAGCCACACUAGAACUGAGGCACGGUCCAGACUCCUACGAGAGGAAGCAGUGGGAAAUAUUGCACAAUGGGCGCAAGCCUGAUGCAGCCAUGCCGCGUGUAUGAAGAAGGCCUUCGGGUUGUAAAGUACUUUCAGCGGGGAGGCGUUACCCGCAGAAGAAGCACCGGCUAACUCCGUGCCAGCAGCCGCGGUAAUUC
rnacentral:rRNA from 1 species